rnacentral:rRNA from 1 species
AGUGAACGCUGGCGGUAGGCCUAACACAUGCAAGUCGAACGGCAGCACAGUAAGAGCUUGCUCUUACGGGUGGCGAGUGGCGGACGAGUGAGGAAUACAUCGGAAUCUACUUUUUCGUGGGGGAUAACGUAGGGAAACUUACGCUAAUACCGCAUACGACCUACGGGUGAAAGCAGGGGAUCUUCGGACCUUGCGCGAUUGAAUGAGCCGAUGUCGGAUUAGCUAGUUGGCGGGGUAAAGGCCCACCAAGGCGACGAUCCGUAGCUGGUCUGAGAGGAUGAUCAGCCACACUGGAACUGAGACACGGUCCAGACUCCUACGGGAGGCAGCAGUGGGGAAUAUUGGACAAUGGGCGCAAGCCUGAUCCAGCCAUACCGCGUGGGUGAAGAAGGCCUUCGGGUUGUAAAGCCCUUCUGUUGGGAAAGAAAAGCAGCAGGUUAAUACCCCGCUGUUCUGACGGUACCCAAAGAAUAAGCACCGGCUAACUUCGUG